rnacentral:sRNA from 1 species
UAUCCACAGAACAGGUACAGCACAGGCAUUAGCAAGUGAGAUGACCCCUUGUCUCAUCAACAUGCCUCAACUUUGCUUUGAGAGACCAAAGUCCAGAUG